UGCGGAGGAAAAGAAACCAACUGGGAUUACCUUAGUAACGGCGAGUGAAGCGGUAAAAGCUCAAAUUUGAAAUCUGGUACUUUCAGUGCCCGAGUUGUAAUUUGUAGAAUUUGUCUUUGAUUAGGUCCUUGUCUAUGUUCCUUGGAACAGGACGUCAUAGAGGGUGAGAAUCCCGUUUGGCGAGGAUACCUUUUCUCUGUAAGACUUUUUCGAAGAGUCGAGUUGUUUGGGAAUGCAGCUCAAAGUGGGUGGUAAAUUCCAUCUAAAGCUAAAUAUUGGCGAGAGACCGAUAGCGAACAAGUACAGUGAUGGAAAGAUGAAAAGAACUUUGAAAAGAGAGUGAAAAAGUACGUGAAAUUGUUGAAAGGGAAGGGCAUUUGAUCAGACAUGGUGUUUUUUGCAUGCACUCGCCUCUCGUGGGCUUGGGCCUCUCAAAAAUUUCACUGGGCCAACAUCAAUUCUGGCAGCAGGAUAAAUCAUUAAGAAUGUAGCUACUUCGGUAGUGUUAUAGCUUUUUGGAAUACUGUUAGCCGGGAUUGAGGACUGCGCUUCGGCAAGGAUGUUGGCAUAAUGGUUAAAUGCCGCCCGUCUUG
rnacentral:rRNA from 1 species